CUCAAAAGCAAAACAAAUAUUUUAAGUUCAUAAGACCACAUUCAUUCUGUGUCAGAAACCUAUGCUGUGUCAACUAUUUAAUCACAAUCCAAAUUCAGAGCUGUAUCCAGCUUGAAUGUCGUGUCCAUACUUGCCCAAACCGUUCAGGGUUAGACCUCUGCGGUCGUAUAAAGCUGCACCCUGCGGAGAAUCUGGUUGUGUUUUGGUCUGUUUUUCUAAUACUAUAUGCAAUAGGUCAACUAUAUUUGGUUUAUGGAAUGAUUGUAAGGUGUACAUGUCUAGCU
rnacentral:lncRNA from 1 species